rnacentral:misc_RNA from 1 species
UCUCCGUUGGUGAACCAGCGGAGGGAUCAUUAACGAGAAACCCGGGGUAACUCCCGGGAAGUCCCGCUCCCCGUGGCGACACGGGGGGCGUUCUCACAACCCUUUGUCUAACGUACCCGUUGCCUCGGGGGCUUCACCGCCCCCGACGGACGCCCUUCAAACACUGCAUCCCUGCGUCAGAGUAUUGAAACAAAUCAAUCAAAACUUUCAACAACGGAUCUCUUGGUUCUGGCAUCGAUGAAGAACGCAGC